rnacentral:rRNA from 2 species
GCUAUACAUGCAAGUCGAACGAACUCUGGUAUUGAUUGGUGCUUGCAUCAUGAUUUACAUUUGAGUGAGUGGCGAACUGGUGAGUAACACGUGGGAAACCUGCCCAGAAGNGGGGGAUAACACCUGGAAACAGAUGCUAAUACCGCAUAACAACUUGGACCGCAUGGUCCNAGUUUGAAAGAUGGCUUCGGCUAUCACUUUUGGAUGGUCCCGCGGCGUAUUAGCUAGAUGGUGNGGUAACGGCUCACCAUGGCAAUGAUACGUAGCCGACCUGAGAGGGUAAUCGGCCACAUUGGGACUGAGACACGGCCCAAACUCCUACGGGAGGCAGCAGUAGGGAAUCUUCCACAAUGGACGAAAGUCUGAUGGAGCAACGCCGCGUGAGUGAAGAAGGGUUUCGGCUCGUAAAACUCUGUUGUUAAAGAAGAACAUAUCUGAGAGUAACUGNUCAGGUAUUGACGGUAUUUAACCAGAAAGCCACGGCUAACUACGUGCCAGCAGCCGCGGUAAUACGUAGGUGGCAAGCGUUGUCCGGAUUUAUUGGGCGUAAAGCGAGCGCAGGCGGUUUUUUAAGUCUGAUGUGAAAGCCUUCGGCUCAACCGAAGAAGUGCAUCGGAAACUGGGAAACUUGAGUGCAGAAGAGGACAGUGGAACUCCAUGUGUAGCGGUGAAAUGCGUAGAUAUAUGGAAGAACACCAGUGGCGAAGGCGGCUGUCUGGUCUGUAACUGACGCUGAGGCUCGAAAGUAUGGGUAGCAAACAGGAUUAGAUACCCUGGUAGUCCAUACCGUAAACGAUGAAUGCUAAGUGUUGGAGGGUUUCCGCCCUUCAGUGCUGCAGCUAACGCAUUAAGCAUUCCGCCUGGGGAGUACGGCCGCAAGGCUGAAACUCAAAGGAAUUGACGGGGGCCCGCACAAGCGGUGGAGCAUGUGGUUUAAUUCGAAGCUACGCGAAGAACCUUACCAGGUCUUGACAUACUAUGCAAAUCUAAGAGAUUAGACGUUCCCUUCGGGGACAUGGAUACAGGUGGUGCAUGGUUGUCGUCAGCUCGUGUCGUGAGAUGUUGGGUUAAGUCCCGCAACGAGCGCAACCCUUAUUAUCAGUUGCCAGCAUUAAGUUGGGCACUCUGGUGAGACUGCCGGUGACAAACCGGAGGAAGGUGGGGAUGACGUCAAAUCAUCAUGCCCCUUAUGACCUGGGCUACACACGUGCUACAAUGGAUGGUACAACGAGUUGCGAACUCGCGAGAGUAAGCUAAUCUCUUAAAGCCAUUCUCAGUUCGGAUUGUAGGCUGCAACUCGCCUACAUGAAGUCGGAAUCGCUAGUAAUCGCGGAUCAGCAUGCCGCGGUGAAUACGUUCCCGGGCCUUGUACACACCGCCCGUCACACCAUGAGAGUUUGUAACACCCAAAGUCGGUGGGGUAACCUUUUAGGAACCAGCCGCCUAAG